rnacentral:tRNA from 1 species
GGCUCCUUAGCUCAGUCGGUAAGAGCGCUCGGUUGAAGCCCGAGAGGUCCCUGGCUCAACUCCAGGAGGAGCCACCA